UACGGGGGGAGCAAGCGUUGUUCGGAUUUACUGGGCGUAAAGGGCGCGUAGGCAGCGCAACAAGUCACUUGUGAAAUCUCCGGGCUUAACCCGGAGCGGCCAAGUGAUACUGUCGUGCUAGAGUGCGGAAGGGGCUACUGGAAUUCUCGGUGUAGCGGUGAAAUGCGUAGAUAUCGAGAGGAACACCUGCGGCGAAGGCGGGUAGCUGGGCCGACACUGACGCUGAGGCGCGAAAGCCAGGGGAGCGAACGGG
rnacentral:rRNA from 1 species